UACGAAGGGGGCGAGCGUUGUUCGGAUUUACUGGGCGUAAAGGGCGCGCAGGCGGCUCAUUUUGUCAGGCGUGAAAGCCCCGGGCUUAACCUGGGAACUGCGUUUGAUACGGAUGGGCUAGAGUUCGGGAGAGGAGAGUGGAAUUCCCAGUGUAGAGGUGAAAUUCGUAGAUAUUGGGAAGAACACCGGUGGCGAAGGCGGCUCUCUGGACCGAGACUGACGCUGAGGCGCGAAAGCGUGGGGAGCAAACCGG
rnacentral:rRNA from 1 species